UACAGAGGGUGCGAGCGUUAAUCGGAAUUACUGGGCGUAAAGGGCGCGUAGGCGGUGUAUUAAGUUAGAUGUGAAAUCCCUGGGCUUAACCUAGGAACUGCAUCUGAUACUGGUACGCUAGAGUGCAGUAGAGGGAAGUGGAAUUUCCGGUGUAGCGGUGAAAUGCGUAGAUAUCGGAAGGAACAUCAGUGGCGAAAGCGACUUCCUGGACCAAUACUGACGCUCAUGUGCGAAAGCGUGGGGAGCAAACAGG
rnacentral:rRNA from 1 species